UACGUAGGGUGCGAGCGUUAAUCGGAAUUACUGGGCGUAAAGCGUGCGCAGGCGGCUUUGCAAGACAGAUGUGAAAUCCCCGGGCUCAACCUGGGAACUGCAUUUGUGACUGUAUAGCUAGAGUAUGGAAGAGGUGAGUGGAAUUCCGAGUGUAGAGGUGAAAUGCGUAGAUAUGCGGAGGAACACCAAUGGCGAAGGCAAUCCCCUGGGCCUGUACUGACGCUCAUGCACGAAAGCGUGGGGAGCAAACAGG
rnacentral:rRNA from 1 species